AAGCAGCGGAGCGUGUGGUUUAAUUCGAUGCAACACGAAGAACCUUACCAGGGCUGACAUGUUAGAAGUAGGAACCCGAAAGGGGACGACCAGUAUCCAGUCUGGAGCUAACACAGGUGCUGCAUGGCUGUCGUCAGCUCGUGCCGUGAGGUGUAUGGUUAAGUCCCACAACGAGCGCAACCCUCGUCGCUAGUUAAUUUCCCUAGCGAGACCGCCUCGCAAAACGAGGAGGAAGGUGGGGAUGGCGUCAAGUCAGCAUGGCCUUUAUACCCUGGGCGACACACACGCUACAAUGGGUGGUACAGUAGGUAGCGAAGGAGCGAUCCGGAGCAAAUCUUUAAAACCAUCCUCAGUACGGAUUGCAGGCUGAAACCCGCCUGCAUGAAGCCGGAGUUGCUAGUAACCGCAGGUCAGCUAUACUGCGGUGAAUACGUUCCCGGGCCUU
rnacentral:rRNA from 1 species